UCAUUCUCUCAUUCUCUGUCUCUCUCUCUCAUUCUCUGUCUCACAUACACACCCCACACACGAGCGUGUCGUUCUCCUUACAGUCGAGAUACAGUCGCCGGUGUGUUUAUACAUUUGUAGUGAGGAUCGCUGCACCAGUAACGUGUAGAAGAGUGCACAAGGAUACAGUAACUAUCCAUGACCAGUAAGAGCGAUCUAAAUACACACAGCCAUUCACAGGAUUCUUAUUAUUAUGUUGUAUGCCCCAUGCUUUCCCUGUUCAGUUUGAGGUCAACGGACAAAGGCUAUAUGAUGUCGAGCAGUUGAAAUACAGGGCCGAUAGGAAAGAGGAAGUGUGCAAAGUGUGGUGUAACCCAAGCUUAUGACCACAGGCACCUUCUUUUGCAUGGUGUAACCACUUUAGCUUAUGUUCAUACUUUAAAGCUCAUUUCCAACCACUUUUUACAUUUUGCCGAGGUACAAAGGAGGCGAGAGCGUGUUCUGAUGGAUGGAUGGACACUCUGCUAAAACGUUUGAGCAAAUGGUGGUGGCAGUUAAUGAAGUCUGAUAUUAAGAGAUCCGAACAUGAGGAGAGGUCACUGAGGCCCUGGGAUUGAUCCAAGAGGAGACGAGUCUUUCUCUGAAGAAGAGGGAAAGCGUUAGGACCAGUAGGGUGUGAUGUCAGGACCCAGCACUACAGAGGAACAGGAAAGAGAAGGGAAAAAAGGGAAGUUAGCUAAUUCUCAAGAGGAACACUGACACUCAUGAGAGGCUCCCAGAUGCAUCCACAAGCUUAGAAACAAGUGCCUUAUUGUCUGCUGGAGUUUGGACAACGUGAGCUAAGUGGAGACUCAGAGACGCAGAAUGCUGCAGCAACAUGGGAUCGAAAUUUCCAACGUGAUAUCAGCCGGAUUCCGUCCAUAAAGGCACCUAUUGUAUGACGUGUAUGAGCCCCAUGUGCAUGAAUCCCAGCAGGAGUCGGGCAGGCUGACCGCUGAAGGUCACGUCGCCAUUAAAAUAUCACCAGUAUUAUCGACGAGCUGAUUGGUCUGUCUGACGAUGAACAUAUUUAAAAAGACAAAAUGGUAACGACACACUACACCAUACUCCUCCUGAGCAAAAAAAAAAGAGCUUUAUCUUAUCUACAACCAAGAAAACAAACAGUGUCCCAGAAAAGCACGCCCGCUCAAACACGUCACAUCCAUUGUGAGUGAGCAGGAAGCCGUGGGGUCAGAGAUUUGCUUAUUUAAGGAACACGGGAAGGAAAUGGUGAGCAAAGGAGCUGAUGAGCUCCAAAUGGAGGCAGGAAAUGGACUAAUGUCUGAGUCUUCUCAAUGUCAGCCAGAUCCAUGAUGUUACGAUGCGCUUCGGAGAAGACGAUGAUGCCCGAACUGAGGCACAUCGAGCUCGCUCCAAAACCUGAACCCGGGGCAAAGAUCUGACUUUCUCAAAUAAAUGUCUAAAGUGUU